GCAUCACUUGGCACUUCCGUCUGCCUUUACAUUUUGAAAUAUACACAUCAACAUUGGCUGUAGGUCCAUCUCUGAACUGGGCAGGCUGACAGGCAGCUGGCAGACAGGCAUCAUCUCCCUACGUCUACUGCAAGGUAGUGCCUGGACUGCAGGAGGCAGGGGGAUACCAGUCACAGAUGGCUGAACUCCAGGCUGCAGGAGUCUUGGCUGUAGGUAACCAGGACCCAGGGAGAGGUUAACAGGAUUACCAGCUGGUAUCCAGAUAGUGUUGUUGUCUACCAGACAUCUGGUCCCAUCUCCCAUCACCACUGUUGGCAGCCCGGGCGGCAAGCGGGUCACAGGAACUACCACCAAGCAAUUUAUCAGUAUGAUAGUACUGAACAGCAGUAUACAUUUAUAAAAUGCUCAAAGUGGUGUUUAAUAAAGGUUGAAGUUCUGA
rnacentral:lncRNA from 1 species